GUUCAAAUAUAAUAAAUUUUUAAACGAGUCAUACGAUAAGUUCUCCAAAAUCAUUUCAAUCGUGUGAUUUUAAAAUUAAUAUAACACAUUUCAGCAAAGCCAAACAAUGAUGGAAUGUGCAUGUACACUAAUUAAUGUGUAAAUAUACACACAUGCGUUUUUUGGUUCAAGUACAUUUUCCAAAGUAGAAAUUUUCGAAAGUGAUCAUUCCAACUUGAAAAACUAUUUUUACAUUAUUAUUAUGAAUAUUACUC
rnacentral:lncRNA from 1 species